GAGUAACGCGUAUGUAACCUACCCUGUACAGGGGGAUAGCCCGGAGAAAUUCGGAUUAAUACCCCAUAAAGAUAUUGAGAGGCAUCUUUUAAUAUUUAAAGUUCCGACGGUACGGGAUGGGCAUGCGUAACAUUAGCUAGUUGGCAGGGUAACGGCCUACCAAGGCUGCGAUGUUUAGGGGUCCUGAGAGGGUGAUCCCCCACACUGGUACUGAGACACGGACCAGACUCCUACGGGAGGCAGCAGUGAGGAAUAUUGGUCAAUGGGCGCAAGCCUGAACCAGCCAUCCCGCGUGAAGGAAGAAGGCGCUAUGCGUUGUAAACUUCUUUUUCAGGGGAAGAAUGUCCGAUACGUGUAUUGGAUUGACGGUACCUUGAGAAUAAGCAUCGGCUAACUCCGUGCCAGCAGCCGCGGUAAUACGGAGGAUGCGAGCGUUAUCCGGAUUUAUUGGGUUUAAAGGGUGCGUAGGCGGAUUGAUAAGUCAGUGGUGAAAUACUGCAGCUUAACUGUAGAAUUGCCGUUGAUACUGUCAGUCUUGA
rnacentral:rRNA from 1 species